rnacentral:rRNA from 1 species
CAAAAACAUCGCCUCUUGCUAAUCUAUAAGAGGUCCAGCCUGCCCAGUGACACAAUUAAACGGCCGCGGUACCCUGACCGUGCGAAGGUAGCAUAAUCACUUGUUCUCUAAAUAGGGACUAGUAUCAACGGCAUCACGAGGGUUAUACUGUCUCCCCUCUCUAAUCAGUGAAACUGACCUCCCCGUGAAGAGGCGGGGAUAAAAGUACAAGACGAGAAGACCCCAUGGAGCUUUAAACCCAAUGACAACCUCUAUCAUCUACUUCCUUUAAACACAGAAGCUAUGUCCAUUGGUUUUAGGUUGGGGUGACCACGGAGCAUAAAAAACCCUCCAUGACGAAUAGAUAUUCAUCCUAAUCCCAGAGCUACUGCUCUAAGAAUCAAAAAUUUGACGUACUAUGAUCCGGCAACCGAUCAACGAACCAAGUUACCCUGGGGAUAACAGCGCAAUCCAUUUUAAGAGCCCUUAUCGACAAAUGGGUUUACGACCUCGAUGUUGGAUCAGGGUAUCCCAGUGGUGCAGCCGCUACUAAAGGUUUGUUUGUUCAACAAUUAAAACCCUACGU